rnacentral:rRNA from 1 species
AGCGAACGCUGGCGGCAGGCCUAACACAUGCAAGUCGAACGAACUCUUCGGAGUUAGUGGCGGACGGGUGAGUAACACGUGGGGACGUGCCCUUAGGUUCGGAAUAACUCAGGGAAACUUGUGCUAAUACCGAAUGUGCCCUUCGGGGGAAAGAUUUAUCGCCUUUAGAGCGGCCCGCGUCUGAUUAGCUAGUUGGUGAGGUAAAGGCUCACCAAGGCGACGAUCAGUAGCUGGUCUGAGAGGAUGAUCAGCCACAUUGGGACUGAGACACGGCCCAAACUCCUACGGGAGGCAGCAGUGGGGAAUCUUGCGCAAUGGGCGAAAGCCUGACGCAGCCAUGCCGCGUGAAUGAUGAAGGUCUUAGGAUUGUAAAAUUCUUUCACCGGGGACGAUAAUGACGGUACCCGGAGAAGAAGCCCCGGCUAACUUCGUGCCAGCCGCCGCGGUAA